rnacentral:lncRNA from 1 species
UUCCCUAUUUCCCUUCCCUUCCCUUCCCUGCCCUAAAUCUAAAACAAAUUUCUAUCUCUUCGUGCGUGCCGCCAGUGCUCCUGCUCCAUCUCUCAUCUCUGUGCUCUGCUCCAUCUGCUCCAUCUCUCAUCUCUGUGCUCUGCUCCAUCUCUCAUCUCGCCGCGAGAUUCUCGCGCCUGUGCCUCCACUCUCCUCUCGAUUGGACUGAUUCACCAUCGGCAUCGGCCGUUGCUCUCUAUCGGCUCUCCACGCGUCGUUGGGCAGUCGACAAUCUCUCAUCUCUAUGCUCUGCUCCAUCUCUCAUCUCGCCGCGAGAUUCUCGCACCUAUGCCUCCACUCUCC